rnacentral:rRNA from 1 species
CUACGGGCGGCAGCAGUGAGGAAUAUUGCACAAUGGGGGGAACCCUGAUGCAGCAACGCCGCGUGGAGGAUGACGCAUUUCGGCGUGUAAACUCCUUUUAUAUGUCAAGAAAAUGACGGUAGCAUAUGAAUAAGCACCGGCUAACUCCGUGUCAGCAGGCCGCGGUAAUACGGAGGGUGCAAGCGUUACUCGGAAUCACUGGGCGUAAAGGACGCGUAGGCGGGUUGGAAAGUCAGGUGUGAAAUCCUACAGCUUAACUGUAGAACUGCACUUGAAACUUCUAAUCUAGAGUAUGGGAGGGGGAGAUGGAAUUAGUGGUGUAGGGGUAAAAUCCGUAGAUAUCACUAGGAAUACCUAAAGCGAAGGCGAUCUCCUGGAACAUUACUGACGCUAAGGCGUGAAAGCGUGGGGAGCAAACAGGAUUAGAUACCCCGGUAGUC